AUCGAACGCUGGCGGCAGGCCUAACACAUGCAAGUCGAACGAGUGGCGGACGGGUGAGUAAUGUCUGGGAAACUGCCCGAUGGACGGGGCUAACUACUGGAAACCGUAGCUAAUACCGCAUAACACCGGAUGUGCCCAGAUGGGAUUAGCUAGCAGGUGGGGUACCGGCUCACCUAGGCGACGACCCCUAGCUGGUCUGAGAGGAUGACCAGCCACCCUGGAACUGAGACCCGGUCCAGACUCCUACGGGAGGCAGCAGUGGGGAAUAUUGCACAAUGGGCGCAAGCCUGAUGCAGCCAUGCCGCGUGUAUGAAGAAGGCCGUCGGGUUGUAAAGUACUUUCAGCGAGGAGGCGUUACUCGCAGAAGAAGCACCGGCUGACUCCGUGCCAGCAGCCGCGGUAAUUC
rnacentral:rRNA from 1 species